GAUUAAUAUUAAUUAAGUGAAAUAUUUAUCAGAUAAAGAAUUGUUUUAACUAAACCUGCAAGAAUUUGGUUAGUGGAUGGAUUAAUCAUAAUUCAUUACUCUGUGAAACAGCCGUGAGCUGGUUAGAAUUCUGUGGCCAGCUGAUAAAACAUUGUCUGUAGAACUCUGUGUUUUACAAUCUAUGUCCAGCUAAGUCUAAUGAAUGUUUACAGUAGACAAACAAUCCACAAGUGAUUGUAAAUCUACUAAGGGUAAAACUAAGAUUGUAUUCCUUGAGAUCCUGAAAAAUCUGUCUUUAAAUUAUAAUAAUCAAUAUGCUGAUAACUCAUAUGGUUCUUUAUAAUUUAAC